AGUGAACGCUGGCGGUAGGCCUAACACAUGCAAGUCGAACGGCAGCACAGGAGAGCUUGCUCUCUGGGUGGCGAGUGGCGGACGGGUGAGGAAUACAUCGGAAUCUACUUUUUCGUGGGGGAUAACGUAGGGAAACGUACGCUAAUACCGCAUACGACCUACGGGUGAAAGCAGGGGAUCUUCGGACCUUGCGCGAUUGAAUGAGCCGAGGUCGGAUUAGCUAGUUGGCGGGGUAAAGGCCCACCAAGGCGACGAUCCGUAGCUGGUCUGAGAGGAUGAUCAGCCACACUGGAACUGAGACACGGUCCAGACUCCUACGGGAGGCAGCAGUGGGGAAUAUUGGACAAUGGGCGCAAGCCUAAUCCAGCCAUACCGCGUGGGUGAAGAAGGCCUUCGGGUUGUAAAGCCCUUUUGUUGGGAAAGAAAUCCAGCUGGUUAAUACCCGGUUGGGAUGACGGUACCCAAAGAAUAAGCACCGGCUAACUUCGUGCCAGCCGCCGCAGUAA
rnacentral:rRNA from 1 species